rnacentral:lncRNA from 1 species
UAUACAUAUUCUUUACACACUUGUUUGGGUCCUGUUAUAUAGUGGUUUUCUUUUGUUGCUAUAUAUCAUAUUUGGUUUCCGUUUAUUGUUUUGUACACAAUAAGUUUAAACUGUUUCACUUGUGCAUUUCAAGGCCUUUGGUUUAUAACUAUGUGAUUACGUGUAUGGGUUUUCCUAAUGAUUAAAGCUUUAUUGUGACCUACAGUAGUAAUCUUUUAUCUCAUUGUCGCUAAAUGAGAGUUGUCCUAUUUGCAAUCAUACCACAUAUUCUUAA